rnacentral:lncRNA from 1 species
GCUCGUUCAACUAGUACCACAAACUCUUUUAUCUCAAGUAUGCCAACUAACAGUUUGAUAUCUUCAUUCAGCCCAUCUUCAAAUCUUUUGCACAUUAUAGCUUCAGUAGAAACACACUCUCGAGCAUACCGACUGAGUCUCACGAACUUCUGUUCGUAUUCCGUCACUGUCAACCUACCCUGUUUCAGCUCCAGAAAUUCUUUAUGCUUCUGGUCAAUAAAUCUCUGACUAAUAUAUUUCUUACGGAACUCAGUCUGAAAGAAUUUCCAUGUCACCUGCUCUCUCGGAACUACUGA